rnacentral:rRNA from 1 species
CACGUAGGCGGGCUCUUAAGUUGGAUUUGAAAUACAACAGCUUAACUGUUGCACCGGAUCCAAAACUGAGAGUCUUGAAUACUAGAGAGGAAAGCGGAAUUCCUGGUGUAGCGGUGAAAUGCGUAGAUAUCAGGAGGAACACCGGUGGCGAAGGCGGCUUUCUGGCUAGUUAUUGACGCUAAGGUGCGAAAGCGUGGGGAGCAAACAGGAUUAGAUACCCUGGUAGUCC